rnacentral:lncRNA from 1 species
GGUCGGGACUGGGUUGGUUCACAAGUCAAACUAACCUAUUUGCAGCCCUAUCCGGAUUGAAAUUAUUGGAGUCAACCCAAUUCUUUCUUCUAGCUUGUCAAAUUCCUGAAAUGAAAAACUGACUAGCUUUCCUUCUCCAAUUCUCAUUUUGUUGGUAGGCAGAAGUCUACUCUGAAGGUCCUAUCAAGGUAUUGCCACAAAUUCUGAUUAUGAUAUUCCUAGUAUUGCAAAGUCAAGUAAUUGCAAUCAUCCUAAGCCCAAAAUCUUGGAAUCUCUCCUUACAAAGUUGCCUAACAUUUAUGCCAGCCUGUUUAAAUUUAUAUUUCCUUUAGUCUAAUGCUUUCACAUAUCCACUAAAAGCAUGGGUUAUAGCUACUACCACGCAUAAAAUAAACAAAUAGAUAAAUAAAGAAGAAGAGUCUAAUGCUUCACAUAUCCACUAAAAGCAUGGGUAUAGCAACUACCACACAUAAAAUAAACAAAUAGACAAAUAAAGAAGAAGAAGAAGAAGAAGAAGGAUGCCAGCCUUUGCCUGUGUUUUGAUGAAGUAUUGCUGCAAUCCAGAAAUCAUCCAACACAACAGAUUCAACUCAGGCGAUCCUGCGCGGCAGUCAUUAGAAUUUUGUUUUUGAUUAAAAAGACCUCAAGAACUUGAGCCUAGUAGAAUGAGUUUGAAGCUAGAAGUAUUUCUAAUAAAUAAAUCCUUGACUUGAGAAUGAGAAGCAGGAGAUCGCCACCUAAUACUUCAUGAUCUCUCUUCCUUCACUACAUCUUAAAC